AUUGAACGCUGGCGGAAUGCUUUACACAUGCAAGUCGAACGGCAGCACGGACUUCGGUCUGGUGGCGAGUGGCGAACGGGUGAGUAAUGUAUCGGAACGUGCCCAGUCGUGGGGGAUAACGUAGUGAAAAUUACGCUAAUACCGCAUACGAUCUAUGGAUGAAAGCGGGGGAUCGCAAGACCUCGCGCGAUUGGAGCGGCCGAUAUCAGUUUAGGUAGUUGGUGGGGGAAAGGCCCACCAAGCCAACGAUCUGUAGCUGGUCUGAGAGGACGACCAGCAACACUGGAACGUAGACACGGUCCAGACUCCUACGGGGUGCAGCAGUGGGGAAUUUUGGACAAUGGGCGAAAGCCUGAUCCAGCCAUUCCGCGUGCAGGAUGAAGGCCCUCGUGUUGUAAACUGCUUUUGUACAGAACGAAAAGGUUUCUACUAGUACUAGGAGCUCAUGACGGUACUGUAAGAAUAAGCACCGGCUAACUACGUGCCAGCCGCCGCCGUAA
rnacentral:rRNA from 1 species